UACGAAGGGGGCUAGCGUUGCUCGGAAUCACUGGGCGUAAAGGGUGCGUAGGCGGCCAACUAAGUCAGACGUGAAAUCCCCAGGCUCAACCUGGGAACUGCGUCUGAUACUGGAUGGCUUGAAUCCGGGAGAGGGAUGCAGAAUUCCAGGUGUAGCGGUGAAAAUGCGUAGAUAUCUGGAGGAAUACCGGUGGCGAAGGCGGCAUCCUGGACCGGCAUUGACGCUGAGGAGCGAAAGCUAGGGGAGCAAACGGG
rnacentral:rRNA from 1 species